GGCGCUGUGGUGGAAUUGGCAGACCGUGGGGACUUAAAAUCCCUUGGAGGCAACUCCGUGUCGGUUCGAGUCCGACCAGCGCCA
rnacentral:tRNA from 1 species